GACGAACGCUGGCGGCGUGCUUAACACAUGCAAGUCGAACGGAAAGGCCCUGCUUGCAGGGUACUCGAGUGGCGAACGGGUGAGUAACACGUGGGUGAUCUGCCCUGCACUUCGGGUUAAGCCUGGGAAACUGGGUCUAAUACCGGAUAGGAGCCAUUUUUAGUGUGAUGGUUGGAAAGUUUUUUCGGUGUAGGAUGAGCUCGCGGCCUAUCAGCUUGUUGGUGGGGUAAUGGCCUACCAAGGCGGCGACGGGUAGCCGGCCUGAGAGGGUGGACGGCCACAUUGGGACUGAGAUACGGCCCAGACUCCUACGGGAGGCAGCAGUGGGGAAUAUUGCACAAUGGGCGCAAGCCUGAUGCAGCGACGCCGCGUGGGGGAUGACGGCCUUCGGGUUGUAAACUCAUUUCGCUAGGGACGAAGCUUUUUGUGACGGUACCUAGAUAAGAAGCACCGGCUAACUACGUG
rnacentral:rRNA from 1 species